AAUUUUUUUAUUCUUUUGAACUUAAAUAACAUUAAGGUUACUAAAACAAAGAAGAACACAACAGCGGCUACUGUUCAAACUAAGUCCAGAUUUUAGUUUAAACAUUUUAAUAAGCGCCCAUGUUGUUUAAAACUGCAUGCUAGUCAUUUUGGCUUGCUUCAUAAUCCAGCAGGACAGAGAAUGGUACUCCUUCGCUGAUUCUAAUAAUAGUCUAUAU